UCAUACACUACUACAGAGAGAGAGAGAGAGAGAGAGAGAGAGAGAGAGAGAGAGAGUCAGAGGGGCGAAAUACAGAGAUAGCAGUAGGAAUAACAAGAAUCAGAGACUCAUAACUAGCGUUUGAAGUGGAAGACAAAUUCGACCCUAACAACCCCGGUUUUGUCUGAACAGCAAUCUGGGAAAGGUCCACCACUGCAGGUGAAACUUAGAAAUUCAGUUGGCCUUCCUGGGAAAAAAAAGGGGCGAGCAUGGCUGACUGAAACUGGUAUGAUGGAUCGCUUUCAUUUGCUGUAUCUGAAGACCAGUGAAUCAGAGCUGUUCCAGCGGCGUUUUUCACAAGCACCUUCACAACCACCAUGAGUCGACUGGAACAGAACAUGGCGCCCCCUGCAGGCGAGUCUCACAGUCACAGUGUUCACUGACGAUGCCCAAAACCCAGAGCAAAUGCCCAAGUGAGCCUCAGCAGCCAGACAGGCAGAUCAAAACAGACUCCGAAGAAACUCUCCGGAGGCUCUUAACUCGCUCUCCAGGAAACGCAUUUUCAGAUUCAGCGAAUGCCACCCCAAAAGGGUGGUGGCAGUCACUGGUCCGCUUCCCUCGGGGCAGCUGGCUGACGUGUUGUUUAUUUGGCACACGCCUCCUCUUGGUACUCAAAAACUUCCUUUCAUUUCGCAAUUGAGGUCCCCGGGCAACAUUUUCUCCCUCGCGAGUCGUCAUAGCGGCAGAAUUUGUCCAGUACACUCCAGAAUUAUGAUCGCCUUAAGAUUGCCAGUUUUUUUUUUCUAAGAUACUCAGCUUUGAUUCCAUUUCACUAGUGAAGCCUAAACGACAUCUUAGAAUGACAACAUUUUAGAAUGACAACAACAUUGUUAAAGAUUUGAUUCGUUUUGAAUCACCACCUUCUCACUGACACUGUGAUUUGUUGGAAACAUAUGGGUUAUACAUAGGCAAUAUAUAUACAGAUAUUUGUCUCUCUGAAUUUCCCAACCAGGCAUACAGCGGAGAGUUAUAGCAUUGGCAAAUAAGGCUACAUGCCACAUUAUUCAAGCACAUUUCAGUGUGUCCUUACUGUUAUUUUCCUGCAGGAGCAGCAAGAGCUGCAGCAAUAUCCAAUAUCCAUGAAAUUUAUUUAGCCAUUCAGAAAAAGUUGCUUUUCCUCCUCAUUCAAUACCACAGUCUAUUGACUGUUGGUUUCUCAGGAGCAGUAUGUAUUUUUCUACUUGUGCAAGUCUUGCGAUAAUCCCCUCCAAUUCUUAAAUGGUGUCGUAUAGUGUUGUGUGUUCAGUCAUUUAUAUUCAGGAAGUCCAGCUUCUCAGAUUCUCAAUUUCAGAGUGCCUCCACUGUCUGCAAACUCAAUCAUAUUCUGAUUGGUUGACCCAAUUUGCUGCACUUUCCAAUGGCGAUUUUCCAGUACUUUCUCUGCAUCCCCUCACACCCCCACCCCCCGACAUACACACACACACACACACACACGUGCACACACACACACACAUACACACAUGCAC